rnacentral:rRNA from 1 species
GAUGAACGCUGGCGGCGUGCCUAAUACAUGCAAGUCGAGCGAACAGACGAGGAGCUUGCUCCUCUGACGUUAGCGGCGGACGGGUGAGUAACACGUGGAUAACCUACCUAUAAGACUGGGAUAACUUCGGGAAACCGGAGCUAAUACCGGAUAAUAUAUUGAACCGCAUGGUUCAAUAGUGAAAGACGGUUUUGCUGUCACUUAUAGAUGGAUCCGCGCCGCAUUAGCUAGUUGGUAAGGUAACGGCUUACCAAGGCAACGAUGCGUAGCCGACCUGAGAGGGUGGUCCGGCCCCACGGGAAUGGGACACCGUCCCAACUCCCCACGGGGGGCACCAGUGGGGAUUCUUCCCCAAGGGGCGAAAGCCUGCCGGAGCAACGCCGGGGGGGUGAUGAAGGUUUUCGGAUCGUAAAACCUUUUCAUUGGGGAAAAAAAAAUGUGAAAGUAACUAUCCCCCUCUUGACGGUACCUAAUCAAAAACCCCCGGCUACCUCCGU